UACGUAGGGCGCAAGCGUUGUCCGGAAUUAUUGGGCGUAAAGAGCUCGUAGGUGGUUUGUCGCGUCUGCCGUGAAAGCCCGGGGCUUAACUCCGGGUCUGCGGUGGAUACGGGCAGACUAGAGGCAGGUAGGGGAGAACGGAAUUCCCGGUGUAGCGGUGAAAUGCGCAGAUAUCAGGAGGAACACCGGUGGCGAAGGCGGAUCUCUGGGCCAUUACUGACGCUGAGGAGCGAAAGCGUGGGGAGCGAACAGG
rnacentral:rRNA from 1 species